rnacentral:rRNA from 1 species
GUAAAAGUCGUAACAAGGUUUCCGUAGGUGAAACUGCGGAAGGAUCAUU